GUCAGUCAAUAAGCAAAUGAACAUUCUUUAACAGGGAAUGUUCUCUAAAUGCAAAUGCUCACUCCCUUCCACCCACUCCUGUCAAAAACAUCACUGAAAGUUGUUUUAAGCAGAGAAUGGCUGGGUCAGAUUUGUUUUUCUGUAACGGGAGAUUGGUUUGUAUCCCAUGGGUGUGGCCAGUUCAGCUGUGGUCUGGGUGAAGAGAGAUUUAAAAAUAACAAUCCUUUGUCAGCUCAGAGAGGACUUUAGUAUAACUUAGAUCUCAUAGCAGGCAAGUACUCUGGAAGUGGAAAUGAACAUGACCUACCUCAAAUUUCAAGAAAGAAGGGAGGAGAUGAGGAGACGGAGGUUCCAAGAGGCAGAAGCAAUCGUGCAGUGAAAGAGUGGGGAAGAGACAGAGCUGGGAGAUGAGAGUGGGGGCAGGGAGGGGAGUCCUCAUUCCAGAGCCCAGGGAACUUCCUUCCCUAUGUUACUCCCUUGCCAUUCAGAGUACCUACUCUGCACCAGACAUCCUGCUAGGUGCUGAUGCAGGGAUGCACAGUGAAUGGGCCAGGCCUGGCCUCUGUGUGUGAGUCUACCAGAAGCCUCUGAAGUGCUGAGAAUACUCAUCAGAGGCCAAAUGAAAGACUUCUUUUUGCCUCCACUCGCCUACUCCCAGCCCUACCACCUGCCAGCUGUAUGACCUUGGACAAUUACGUUCCCUCUCUACUUUAGUCCCAUGACAAUAAAAUGGCAGAAAUAUUAA